rnacentral:rRNA from 1 species
UACAGAGGGUGCAAGCGUUAAUCGGAAUUACUGGGCGUAAAGCGUGCGCAGACGGUCUCGUAAGUCGGGUGUGAAAUCCCCGGGCUCAACCUGGGAAUUGCAUUCGAAACUGCAAGGCUAGGGUACGGAAGAGGGAAGCGGAAUUUCUGGUGUAGCGGUGAAAUGCGUAGAUAUCAGAAGGAACAUCAGUGGCGAAAGCGGCUUCCUGGUCCAGUACCGACGUUCAGGCACGAAAGCGUGGGGAGCAAACAGG